UACGUAGGUGGCGAGCGUUGUCCGGAUUUACUGGGCGUAAAGGGAGCGUAGGCGGACUUUUAAGUGAGAUGUGAAAUACUCGGGCUCAACUUGAGUGCUGCAUUUCAAACUGGAAGUCUAGAGUGCAGGAGAGGAGAAUGGAAUUCCUAGUGUAGCGGUGAAAUGCGUAGAUAUAUGGAGGAACACCGGUGGCAAAAGCGGCUCUCUGGCCUGUAACUGACACUGAGGCUCGAAAGCGUGGGGAGCAAACAGG
rnacentral:rRNA from 1 species